UUUUCGGGCUCUCCCACUCACGCAGCCCACCUCUUUUUUUCCCCCUCUUCCUCAGGGCCUCUCUCCUCUCUCUAAUCUCCACCCUCUCCACAACCCACCCUCUCCUUCGCCGCACUCACUUCGGCCGCCGCUGACGCCGCCGCACUCACUUCGACCGCCGCCGACGCCGCUACACUCACCUCGUCCGCGGCACUCAUCUCGGCCACGGUCGUCGUCGCUGUCCGGAGAGGCGCCGUACUCAUCUCGGCCACGGUCGCCGCCGCUGUUCGGAGAGGCGCCGCACUCAUCUCGGCCACGGUCGCCGCCGCUGUCCGGAGAGGCACUGCACUCAUCUUGGCCACGGUCGCCGCCGCUGUCCAGAGAGGCGCCGCACUCUUCUCGGCCACGGUCGCCACCGCCGGCCACGGUCGUACCCUGCGAUGGCCGGAGAGGCACCGCACUCUUUUCCUCCUCCAACAGCUUGAGCCACUUCAACUAGGGUGAUCUACCAGCAAAAGGCUAGGUUGGUUGAUGCAUUUGGUGAUUAUUUCUAUUGAUCAAGGCUAAUCUUGCGCUUCUACUCUUUGAUGAUAACUUGUUGCAACAUCUAAACUAAAUUUUAUUUUUAGAAAUAGUGAAGAUUAGAAUUAAAGAAAAAAAAAUGGAGUAGAUGGGGGGCAUGUGGGAGAAAUAAUUUCUUUCCUAAGCAGCAGAAGCAGAGCAAUUUAUGUAUGCUAUUUGUAGCUAAGGUAGAUAAAGCUAUUACUUCAUAGAGAGUUGGUGUUGGAAUAUAAUUUAAAUAUUAAUUCUUGAUGAAUUUUUUGUUGUUGGAAUAUAAUUUCUUGUUGGUUUGUGGUGUUUGUUUCUUACUUGUUGUUAUGUUUGUUUGAUUAUACGCUCUCGUUUUAUAUUCUUUCGAUGGAUUUAUGUGGGUAAUAGCUAGCUUGGAAAUACUGUUUUGAAACUUGAUAGGUUUGAGGAAUGAAAAGGUAUUAGGUAAAGAAAAAUUGAGCCUUUUGUGUUCUGUUGAGUAGUUUAUUAUGUAGGAGUCCAUAGCUGUGAAUGUGGCCAAGCAAAAUGAGUCGCGCUAAUUAAUCACACUUUGUAUUGGACUUGCACACUUGCACAUAUAAUUGCUUUGUUAGUGUUAAUAGAAUGAACUCAGAGAUAUCAAAUGCAAAGUUCAAUUUACAUGCAUAGUUUUAAAGGUUUUGUAGGAAAUUACAUGUUUAUGCAUAGUUCAAUUUAUAUGCUUUUUUCUAUAAUGUACUCAUGCGCAGAAAGCGAUCCAAAAAAACAAUCACGGGCAAAAUGGACGGAUAUGCAUAGAGCUUAUUUAGUAGAACUUUUGCAAGAACAUAAUAAAGAUAAAUGGAGAGGUCAAAAUGGAUGGAAUAAAGAGGGAUGGCGCAGUAUACAUAAGGCGAUGAUUACUAAGUUUUCUCAUUCAAAUUAUACAUUAGAACAAGUAAAAGAUCAGGAGCAACAAUUAAAGAAGCAAUUUAAAGCUGUGAAGAACUUAGUAGAGAUGAGUGGCUUUGGUUGGGAUGCCGACAAGAAAAUGGUUUCUGCUCCAUCAGAAGUUUGGGAACCGUUGAUUAAUGUGAGUAUCACUUUAUAAGCAUUGAUUCUUUAACUCUAUUUUUUUUUCAAUUUUAACAGUAAUUUUUUUAUUUUAUGAAGACUAACAAAGAACUUAGAAAAUAGCACAACAAGCCAUUUCCAUGGUAUGAAGCACUAUAUGACAUUUAUGAAGGUAUGGCCUAGACACAUUUUAUUUAUAUUUUUAAUAAUUAAUAUUGAGAUGUAUUUCAUAUUUGUAUAUUAAAGGCACAUAUGCAGAAGGCAAACGUGCUCGUGGAUGUGAGUAUUAUAGUAAUCACUCUAGAGGUUCAUCAUCGACCUCCCAGCCGGAGUCUCCAUUAGCCACGAUUCCAGGUGUCAGAGAUAAUUUUGAUGAACAUGUUGAAGAGACUCAGGAAGUCAAUCCGUCAGCUCAAAUACCCUCGCCAAGUGACCUACCUCACCCAGUUCAAGUGCCUCCACCAUCACAAUCACAAACGCAAGCUCAAGAAGAAGCUAGGACUACAUCAAGUUAUAAAAAAAGAAAAAUGAGAAAAGAAAAUAUCGAUAAAAUGGAAGAUUAUCUGAUUGUGAAGGAGAGAGGUGACGAUAAACUUGCUAAAGCUAUUGUCACUGCAGCAGAGGUACAAACAAGAAGUUAUCAUGAUGAUAAAUAUUCCGUUGAUAAAUGUAUGAAAGUGUUUUAUGCAUUGCCUGAUCCAUGGACCGCGGACGAGGUAUUUAAAGCUUCAAGAGUGUUCCAAAGAAAGAAAAAAAAUCGUGAGGCUUGGCUUUCAUUGAAGGAUGAACAUAGGGCUUAUUGGAUAAAAAAGGCAUGGGAAGAAGGAAUUUAGAGUUAAACCUUAAGGUUGUUGCUUAGUUUCUUUAUUAUGCUUUUUUAUUAGAUUUCUUUCAUUUGUUUGUCAUGUUAAACCUUACCGUUGACAUUUGUUGGUAUAUUGAACUUUAUAGUCUAUUUAGCAAGUUGGUAUCUUUAAUGCUAAAUAGAUUUUUGUUGGUAUCUAGAUGUUUGUUGGCUUAUUUCAUGUAAUGCUAAACUUCAUGGAUGAUAUUUCUUGUU